CAGCAGCGACCCGGGGCACCAUCUGUGGCCCGGAGCCUGAACCCCUACACAUCCUCCCUGGCGUCCGAGUCAUAAACGUCUCGGUGCCAUUGUCUGGGAUCUCAUUGUGGACAUUGUUUCUCAGGGUCCACCCGCCACUGGCCAAUAAGUUGGACAUGCUCCCCCUCUGAGGAGCAGUCUGACAUUCCAGCCAUUUGCAGUCAGCUGUCCGAUAGGACGAAGAGGCCAGUGAGCUGCUGCAGUCAGUGGCAAAACUAAAUAAAGCAAUAAGGAGGAGGGCAGGGCAGUGUCUGUGCCCACUUCGAGGGCUGAUGGCCCCGAGCCCAUGGGGCAGAAGACCUUGUGGAUACGCUUCCUACGGCUGGAAUGCCCCCCAUCAGCCUUUCAGCAGGAGACCCCCUCCCCCUCUUCAUUACUGGCCUGCAACACUUUCCCAUGAAGUGCAGUAACAACCAAUAACCCAGUUGUUACUUGAAAAGGGACACAUCCCAGUGAAGGAGGAAUGAACACUAACACGUGUGCGCAGCGAGCGAGCCACCCAUCUUCCUCUCGUACACGCGGAAGGCUUCGCAAGAAGAAGGGAACCCAGGCCAACUCCCCCACUGUCCAAACAUUCAACUUGAAAAUGUUGCCUUCAACAGCUGUAGAGAUCCUUCGAGGAGUUCUCCAGAACCUCGCCCUUGUCUCAAACCUGACGGUUACGGGAGGAAAAAGAGCAACGGAUUCAAAUGGCCCUGCAACUGCCUGAACGGAGCAGCAUGGCUGAGAUUCGAAGCGGUUGUAGACGUUGUGUGGAGCCUGCAUGGAGUCCCCCUGUCCAUCCCAUCCAG